AUCAAGUGAAGGUGUCUCAGUGCUGCACAUAAGAUAUGCAAUUAGUGGUAUCCCAUUGCCAAAUCUGCUAAAAAAAAAAAAAAGAAAUUCAAGGAGAACGAUUCAAUUAAACUUGACAAUGAUAUUGCAACACAUAUAUUACAACUCAAUGGAAAGAAUAUCAUACCUCUUUCAAGCAUGUACUUGCAUAUGCCCAUAUAUAUGAAAAUGGGCAUCGUCAUUUAAAUCUUAAUUACUAAAUCUCACGUGAAUUUUUGAGCAUGUCACCAGACGCUAAAGAAGUUAUAGGAAUUCUCGGGUCUCCAAAUUAAAACCAAAGUCAGAAGCAUCAAUCAUCAUGAUAUAUUUCAGUCAAUAAGUAAAUUGGAAGCUCAAGCCUCUUUCCCAGUGUAAUUCAAGACCCAAUGGACAGAUAAUAUGAAGACCAGUGAGCAAAACAAACAAUGAUUAAAAAAAAUUGAACACAGAAAGAUGACAACAAAUUUGAGGCUCAAGGGCCAGCUACCAUCAGCAGCAGAUACUAUAGUUGACAGAGAGAGGCAAGAGCAAGCAUGAAGCAUGUUUCUGAUUGUUUGCUAACAGACAUCAAUUAAAUUUAGAAACAUUCUGCUGUACAUAGAAUAGGAUUCAGAAGUUGAUAGACCAUCACCAGAAAAUAACAAUCAUUACUCCUAUCUCCACUCUAUUCAAUUUCCACACAAACAAACAGAUACAUUGAAAAUUCUUAGGCUUAUUCUGAAUUAUUGUUUACCUACCACACUGUGGUGGCAUAUGUUUACAAGGUCAUAAGAAAGCCCACCUAACCCACCAUGUAUUGAAUCACCUCUAUCCAGGUGCACAACUAGAAGAAUGAAAAACCCAACACAUAGAUUUCAACAAAAUUUCAGUUUACGAAUCUCAAUGGUCUACCGAACUCUCGACAUUCUAUACAAAUAAAUCAAAUAAGCUUUUCGAUUAGGGUUUUAAGAUCAUGCUUCCAUUUUCAUCAUCUACUCUCACUAACCAAAUGCCAGGGUUCAAUAUCAGCAAUGUGUAAGAUGAAUUUCACCAACCUAAUAACUAAACGCACCAGAUCAAUUAACCAAAAAACAGUAUUAAAACUAAUAAUUUCACCCUACGGCCAAAAAUCUAGAGCUAAUAUGAAAAAUAAAAUUGCAUGAAAAGAAGAAAAAGAAAAUCAGUACCUUAGCAGUGUAAGUGAUAUUCUCAAGUUGACAAUUCCAAUUGUCUUCGCACUCCACCAUGCUCCCUCUGUAAAGCUCACCGCUUUUCAGCUCCACCGUCACGAUGUGGCCCGACGCCUCAUGUAGCAGCUUCACUGGUAUCCCUAAGCUCCGGCUCAUGGUUUGCUUCUCUCUCUCUGUAUCUCUCUGCAAAACCCUAGCUAACCCACCAAGGACCCAAAC
rnacentral:misc_RNA from 1 species